rnacentral:snRNA from 1 species
CGUGCGCUGGAUUAUGAC